rnacentral:rRNA from 1 species
GUACACUCCUACGGGAGGCAGCAGUGGGGAAUAUUGCACAAUGGGCGCAAGCCUGAUGCAGCCAUGCCGCGUGUAUGAAGAAGGCCUUCGGGUUGUAAAGUACUUUCAGCGGGGAGGAAGGCGAUAAGGUUAAUAACCUUGUUGAUUGACGUUACCCGCAGAAGAAGCACCGGCUAACUCCGUGCCAGCAGCCGCGGUAAUACGGAGGGUGCAAGCGUUAAUCGGAAUUACUGGGCGUAAAGCGCACGCAGGCGGUCUGUCAAGUCGGAUGUGAAAUCCCCGGGCUCAACCUGGGAACUGCAUUCGAAACUGGCAGGCUAGAGUCUUGUAGAGGGGGGUAGAAUUCCAGGUGUAGCGGUGAAAUGCGUAGAGAUCUGGAGGAAUACCGGUGGCGAAGGCGGCCCCCUGGACAAAGACUGACGCUCAGGUGCGAAAGCGUGGGGAGCAAACAGGAUUAGAAACCCGAGUAGUCCCAUGAU